rnacentral:rRNA from 1 species
AGUCGCCGCGGUAAUACAGAGGGUGCGAGCGUUAAUCGGAUUUACUGGGCGUAAAGCGUGCGUAGGCGGCUUUUUAAGUCGGAUGUGAAAUCCCUGAGCUUAACUUAGGAAUUGCAUUCGAUACUGGGAAGCUAGAGUAUGGGAGAGGAUGGUAGAAUUCCAGGUGUAGCGGUGAAAUGCGUAGAGAUCUGGAGGAAUACCGAUGGCGAAGGCAGCCAUCUGGCCUAAUACUGACGCUGAGGUACGAAAGCAUGGGGAGCAAACAGGAUUAGAUACCCGCGUAGUCCCUGUCUCUUAUACC